GAGCCAGAGUGGCCUAAGCUCCUGCCUGGCUUUCAACAACAGAACCAUGAGCUACAUCAACGUCACCAGACAGAUCACCAUCAGCUGUGGAUUUCUGGACCUGUCAUCCCGAGAAGGAACAUUUCUGCUGUAAUUGCAUCCUGAUACAGAAUAUAUCUCUCAUUCCACUAUCAUGCUGUCGAUGGAAUUAUUUCUCUGAACAUUAUAGCAAAACAUCUUUCAUUGUCUUUUUUCAUUAUUGAAGAUUUAUUCUUCCAGAUUAGUAUCACAAUGAAGAAUCAUAUAUCAUGUACAGUAUUUCAACACCUCUCUGUACUGUAAUUUGCUCGAGACCUGGUGGAAUAAACAAAGUAUAUCAAG